rnacentral:sRNA from 1 species
GCCAGGUGUGGUGGUGCAUGACUGUAAUCCUAACAGCUCGGGAGGCUGAGGCAGGAGGAUCAUGAGUUCAAAGCCAGCCUCAGCAACUUGGUGAGGUCCUAAGCAACUCAGUGAGAACCUGUCUCUA